rnacentral:sRNA from 1 species
AAGGAUCAUUAGUGAAUUAAACAUGCUUGGUGUCUUCGCUUCGGCAAGGCCCUUGCUUAACUCACAUCCCAACACCUGUGAACUGUAAGGCGCAUGACUAGGUUCGCCCAAGUCAUCGUCUGCCCUUUUUAACAAACAAUUAAUGUAACAAACGUAGUCUUAUUAUAACCUAAUAAAACUUUCAACAACGGAUCUCUUGGCUCUCGCAUCGAUGAAGAACGCAGCGAAAUGCGAUAAGUAAUGUGAAUUGCAGAAUUCAGUGAAUCAUCGAAUCUUUGAACGCACCUUGCGCUCUUUGGUAUUCCGAAGAGCAUGCCUGUUUGAGUGUCAUGAAAAUAUCAACCUUGACUUGGGUUUUGUGCUCUAGUCUCGGCUUGGAAUUGGGUGCUUGCCGCUUUUACGAGCGGCUCACCUUAAAUGUAUUAGCUGGAUCUGUCUUUGAGACUUGGUUUGACUUGGCGUAAUAAGUAUUUCGCUAAGGACAUUCUUCGGAGUGGCCUCGUUUCUAGGACGCUUGUCCGCUUUCCAAUACAAGUUCCACCUCGUGGACAUGACUUUUUAUUAUCUGGCCUCAAAUCAGGUAGGACUACCCGCUGAACUUAA